UACGAAGGGGGCUAGCGUUGCUCGGAAUCACUGGGCGUAAAGCGCACGUAGGCGGCUUUCUAAGUCAGGGGUGAAAUCCUGGAGCUCAACUCCAGAACUGCCUUUGAUACUGGAGAGCUUGAGUCCGGGAGAGGUGAGUGGAACUCCGAGUGUAGAGGUGAAUUUCGUAGAUAUUCGGAAGAACACCAGUGGCGAAGGCGGCUCACUGGCCCGGUACUGACGCUGAGGCACGAAAGCGUGGGGAGCAAACAGG
rnacentral:rRNA from 1 species